GCGCUUCAUGCUAAAGGCCAUCUAUUCUUUUUUCAUUUACAACUCAAGAAGGCUCGGUUGGAUGAAUAAAUAACAUGAUGGCUGUUUUUACAUUUGAAGCCUUUUCUCUAUUCUUUUAUCGAAUUGUAUCUGCGUUUUGAACUUGAGGUAAUCCAAUCCAUUCCGAGUGGUUCUGGCCAUUCAGUUUCCUUAGGACAAAAGAAUUCCUUGCUCUUCAAAAACAUCCACGUUCGGUGGUUUAAAUUCAGUAUCGUUUCCUUUGUAUGUUUCGACUGUACCUGAUAUUGGGUCUAACUUGAUGAGCCCGUUCUGGAUCAUCAAAGAUUUGGAAUCAUCUUCGCGGGUAAACUAUUUAGGAACUGCAGAGUCUGCGAAUAGGCACCUAAAAGAAAUGGACGAUACCUUCUGUGUGGUAGUGUUCAACUGAGUCCCAAAAGUUGUAAUAUGCUUUUUGAUUUUGAAAUCAAACAAACAAAAAUCAAUCUGGUCAAUAGGUAACGACAAAUUCGACAUUUAAAUUGUGAGUCUCCCAUGGACGUUUUGCAAAGGGAAGAGUAGUGAUCGGCAGAUCGGCUGUUUUCGCGGUUACCAAUCACCAAUAAUUCGUAUGGGUUUAGAUGGGAUAGGAUGUUAUUCAAAUGGAAAAUAUGUAUAUUGAGUGGAGAAAAGAGCUGUUUUGAGUUACCCUUUCGAUUGAACUAAUCAACGGAUUCAUAUUUUUGUUCUUUAGAAAUGAGGGUUGGAAGAAAGUGAGAUUUUUCGUAAACAAACACAACUAACGUAAAUUUGACAAACAGCUGAAAUUCAAGCGCACUGAUGGUCGAAUGUUUGUUUGUUUUUUUCACUGAAAAUGUUCCGUCUUACUAUUGUUUUGGAUCUAAGGUUUUCCCUUCUUUGGAUUCCUUUCCGGUUCCUCUUUUUUGUUUUUCUUACAUUUUCUCCAUUAUUUCGCAAGCCACACCCCAGUCACAUCUUGGUUGCUUUUCCCAUUCAUGAUCAUUUUCUUUUCGUUAUCGGCUAAUCAAAAUUAUCCGUACUGAUGUGACAUUUCGAUGCAUAUUUCUAA